ensembl:lncRNA
AGGGGAUGCAGUGUCGCCUGAACCUUAGAGAUUAUUUUUAGAAGACAGGCAGUUUAUGGCCAAAACCUCGUGUGAAUAAAGCGAAAGGGUUGUUGAGGGCAUUGACUGGUUUUAUUUUUUGUGGUUGUUAACCGCUACAGUAAGUGAAGGAAUUACUGACUUAUGUGGGUAUUACAAAGGCUUUAGCAGGGAUGGCUGAACAUGGCUUGCGCUCUGUCUCUCUCUCUCUUUCUCUCUCUCUCUCUCUUUUUCCUCAGAAGGAAAAUAGGAUACUUGGCUCUUAAAAAUGUGUGAUGACUUAAAAUUCCACAUUCCUUUUGUUCCAAAGAGUUGAGAAGCUGUUGUUAACAUAUUCCAUGAGACUAAUAUAUCAGAGUGGGUUCUGAGUAUGGGCUAUAAGAGAGAUUGUUUAGUUUCAGCUAAGCUUGCCAACUAUGUGGUUUGCUCAGUAAAAAUGUAAGAUGAUAAAAUAUUAUAAAAUAUGACAGUGCCCUAGAGCUUUUUGUGACCUAAAUGAGAUAAUAUUUGCAAAGCACUUAUUACCACAGUACCUGAAACAUAACAGGGACAUUAUAUUAUUUAUAUGCAGAUUCUGUCAGCAGUGACUGUCCUCAUGUGACUUGGCAAACUGGAAUCAUCCAGGAUCUCUCUACAUACUGAAGAUGUAGAGGUUUGUACUUGUUCAAAAGAAGCAGUGCCAAGAGGGACAUGGAUGAACCUGGAAACCAUCAUUCCAGCAAACUGACACAAGAACAGAAAAUCAAACACUGCAUGUUCUCACUCACAGUCAGAAGUAUAUCACCCAGAAGAUUGCUGAUAGUUUUUGAAAGGAUUGAUCUUUACAAGAAAAAGAAAUCAUAAUGCUGUGAGUCUGGACUUGAUGGGCCUAAAAAAUGUCAAAAUGCAUGGAGCUGCAAUUAAUUCUUAUCAGUAGGGAAAGUAUCACCUAUAAUCCGAUUUAGAAUAAGGCACUCAAAAUGAAUAAACAAUAUUAUUAUAUUUGCUUGGUCUAUUUUUUUUCACUUCAUAUACAGUCCAAAUAUUUCUCUUUUAAUUUUUGGAACACUGUUGUUAAAUGCAAGAAAGAGCUCAUAUAAAGUUUAAUCAUAAAGCUUCACAUUAUUAAUUGUACUUUUUUUAAAAAAAAAAAGCAACAAGCAAAUAUAUCAUGUGAGCAAAUAUAAUCUUUACUAAUGGGUAUAAUAAUGCAGCAUAUGUAGGUGCAGAUGUGGGUAGGGAGAGUUUUCUUGGUUGAUGAAAAUUGGUCAUAUUAAGUUAUAUACAUGUAUAUAAAAUAACUAGCUAGUUUUAAAAGACUAAUUCCUUUUUUUAAAAAAGGAAGAAUACAGAUAGAUUCUGUAAAUUCUAAGCAUUUAGCAGGUCUCUUCAUAACACAAAAUGUUUUCAUUAGAAAUUUAAUUCACUGAAUGUCUUGAUUUCUCUACCACUUAAGAAGAUUUUAUGUUGUGUCUGUAUGAUAAAUUUCUCCCUUGCAGUAAGAUAUUAUUUUUAAAAGUGGAAAUGUAGUAUGGGAUAGGCAACAUGCUACAUUUUUCCUGUGUCUACAAACACAGACUCCAAUAUAAUUAAGGAGGGAAAAAAACAAAACAUGCUUAACUAUAGAAUUGCCACAUACAAAAAAUACACAAAUAUAAAGAUACAUAUUAAUUUGUAGAAAAAUCCUUCUCCCUUCCAGCCAGAGCACACAGUUUAGCAACAAAUGUGAUACUCAUGCCUAUUGGACAUUUCUAGUUUCAUUUUUAUUUUAUUCAAAGUGUUCUCAUCUUGUGAUUCUUCUUCUAUCUACCAUAAUAAUUCUUUAUGCCAUGCUACAUGGUUACUGUGCAGGGACGCUAUCCUCAUAGGACAAAGAAUUCAGGAGUACAUAAGAAUGAGGAGCAUCUAUCCAGGCUAAAAUCCAUUAAAAUCACUAAUUCCAUAGUCUCAAGCCAAAUAUAGUAAAUAUCUUUAAGAAAAUAAGAUACUGAGAUAUAAUUGUUUCUAAGUGUUUCUGUAAGACUUCUUCCAGUUUUUCUAAUUAUUAAAAAGACAUCCUUAGGGUCUAGGUACCCAUCAAGGUGUAAGAACCCACAGGCACAGUCACAGCUGGUGCUUAGGUGUCCAUGAGUCACAUCAACAGGAUUGAGACAGGAAAUGAGGAUGUACAUAUUUCACAGGUGAUCGGUGAUAUCUGAGCAGAAAAUAAGCCAUAGUAAAAGCACAGUCGUGAGUUUCCUACUUGAUCUAUAGGGAAUUUCUCAAGGGGUAUAACAAUUGUUAAGUUUUAAAUCUUUCUGUAAGGUGCAGACCAAUACAAAGCACCAAGCUGGACUGAGAUGCUCCUCAACACUUCCAGAGAAUCAGGUGCUUGCUGAUAAAAAGUAGCACUUAAAUAUUAAUAUUAAAUACUCCCACAGUGUAAUAUAUAAAUCAUGUUUCCCUCCUUUCUGCACUCUAAACGCUAGCACUACUAAAAAUAACCUUGAGUUACAUCGGCGUGCCUGAUGUCCAGUUUCAAGGUAAUUGAGAAACAUUUAGGUUAUAUCUCCCAGGGCAAAGCAAGACAGAGAGCUAAAAAUAAUCUAUUCAGUCUGGAUAUUCUAGGUCAAAGGAGAAUACUUUCCACAUUGGGUAGCUAAGCUCUCUAAUAUCAGGGACCCCAAGUCUCCACCAGCAGCAUCUGAAUUAUCUACAUAAUUGCUCUAAUUACCCAACUUUGUCAACACAACCUUAAUAAUCUCUUAGGUAUCUCCUAAUACUCUCUGAUUUCCCUUGGAUGGCAAUAAAACCAAUUUGCUUACUUUCAAUGCUUUGUUUGGGAAAAAUAAAAGAAUUACUUUAUCAAAGCUCAUUUAAUUAAAAAAAAAAAAACUCUAAAAAGUGCCCCAAAUUGGUAAAAUACUUAGGCUUCCUUCCCAACUGUACUCAUUCUGAAAAGUUUCAUGACUAGGUUAAACAGUCACUGAAGGCUCUUUUAAAAACAGCCAUCAAGCAUAAUUUAAACCAUUCUAGUUCUGAGAAACCAGUCCUCCAAUGUUUAUCAAGAUGGUAUUACUCAAAAGGUUCAAUUAGAUUAAAAAAAAUAAACAGAAACAAAUAUGGGUAAUUAAUUUAUUAAUAGCUUGAUUGUUACUAGGAUUUGAAAACCUGGGCUCUGUGGCAGGAAGACAUGCACACACAGUUCUAAUUAACACCAAUCACAAACGCUAAUGGUAGAACCUACUGCUUAAGUAAAUGAACAUCCUCACCCCUGCUGCUUUGAAGAGUCUGAUAGGCAUGCACUUUAUUGACAAAGUAAGCUAAUUUACAGAGUGAUUGUCCAAGAGGGAACUGCUGUUUAUUUGCAGAGUUUUUCCCAUUGAACUCACAGGGCAAACAUUGCACUUAAAUUGUUAAUUAAAAUAUCAACAGAUAAAAAUGUAAACAUUGGGUUUUCUUCAGAGUAGAGUGACACAUACUCAUUCAGAACCAAAUGCCCUCCUGAUCAUUGAUUUCUGAGGAAUGAGAGUAAGUUCUCUGAAAUGGUUAGGAAGCUGAGCUUGAUUUGUACCCAAAAAAGAAAACUUAUUAGGAUACAAUCACAAACACUGACUAAGCUUGUCGACACGGAGUAGCCAGAAACCUAAGGAGGUCUCUAGGUUUUUCUUAUUAUGCCUUUAGUGAUAACUGUCCGCACUUACCAGAUGUGAGCAUCCUAAGAAAAGCUUAAAAGUGGAGUGAAGGCAGGAUGCUGGUGGAGUGUUUUUCUUAUGAAGUCAUCAUAAAGAUCAGGAAAGGAGGAGGUCCAGUAUCUACUUAGCUCCAAAAACAAAAUGACUCAAGCUUGAAACAAAAAAAAGUG